rnacentral:rRNA from 14 species
GAGCUAACUGAUACUAAUGAUCCGUGCGGCUUGACCAUAUAACCU